rnacentral:rRNA from 1 species
GACGAACGCUGGCGGCGUGCUUAACACAUGCAAGUCGAACGGAGCGAUUUAUUUCGGUAAAUCGCUUAGUGGCAAACGGGUGAGUAACGCGUAGGCAACCUGCCCUCAGGUUGGGGACAACGGCUCGAAAGAGCCGCUAAUACCGAAUGACGUAACUCUUCCACAUGGAAGAGAUACUAAAGAUGGGUCAAACCAUCGCCUAAGGAUGGGCCUGCGUCUGAUUAGCCAGUUGGUGAGGUAACGGCUCACCAAAGCGACGAUCAGUAGCCGGUCUGAGAGGAUGAACGGCCACAAUGGGACUGAGACACGGCCCAUACUCCUACGGGAGGCAGCAGUGGGGAAUCUUCCGCAAUGGGGGAAAGCCUGACGGAGCAACGCCGCGUGAGUGAAGAAGGUCUUCGGAUCGUAAAGCUCUGUUGUCGGGGACGAAAGGAAAGGGGAGGCAAUGCCC